rnacentral:tRNA from 1 species
AGCCCACGGGGGUGUGAUCACAUCAAAGUGCAAAUUUGGAGACGUACCUAGGCGGUACCGGGGCUU